rnacentral:lncRNA from 1 species
GUAUUAUAUGUCAAGUAUGACAUCUCAGAUAUUACAACAAUCACAUUAUGCAUUGUGAUUGAUCAGAGAAGCUAAGACAGCACCACGAAAGAUUAAAUAUUUGAUGAGAUUUAGUAAUACAAAUUAAGCUGACUCAAGAAAAAUAUGAAAUUGACUCGGAUUUUUUUCGAAUUUGAAAUCAACUAUUCAAGUCAAGUCGACAAUUGUUCUAAUGAACACAACACUAUAUAGAAUUAUUAUAUAACAUAGCAAGAUUUUCUUUUUUUUAAUUAUUGUUAUUGGCCUUCCACGUUCUCAAAUGAUGUGAGAAGCCUGUGUUUUUUUUUGUUUUUUUUGCUCUUUUUACAUCCUCUCUGAAGCGUCUGGGAUUUAAUACAGUAAAUCUGCAUUUAAAGUCAUCACUAGUGCCUGAAAGCCGAAGAGUAACGCUAAAGAUUUGUUACAUAGUACUUGAAUAAGUUUUAUUUUAUUUUGCAAAGCUGUAAUCCUAAGAAUAAAACAAUAUUUUAUUCUUGAAGAAGUACAUAAAUUACUAGUCCGUGAAAGUCGAAGAGUUACACUGAAGAUUUAUUGCAUAGUAAUAAGUCAAAGUCCUUGUUGGACUCAGAGUAGAAUUGAAGAUCGACAUUGUUUAAUUCCUUAUUAUGUAAUCAGUUCCGAAUUUCAUUAUCCUUGAUGUGAUUGGAGGGAUGAAGAUGGAUAGGUAUUUAUGUGCCUCAUCUCAUAGCUGUUAAUCUAAAUAAAUGUAAUGAAAGCUAAGCCCCUCUCCUCCAAGACAUUUUUCAAACUGUCAGGGGGACCCCGUGCAUUUUCGAUUUUUUUUUACAUACUGGCAGAUCAUAUUACACAGGAGAAUACCAAAUUAUCCCCUCUGCAAUUAAGCUAAGAAUAUAAUUUAUCUUUGAGUGCAAAAUCCAAAACUGAUCUCAUUUUUUCUCUGGGUUGUAAGAUUUCAGAACUAUUUGAGAUGAUCUUACCCUUAUUCGGAAAUCCGUAUUCUCCUAGGGACGACAGGAUGAAAAUUCAUCCGAGAAAAACUACAGGGAUUCAUAAGAGAGGAGAACGGACUCCUUCAUUGGGAAAGGGGAUUCCAGGAUAGAAACAAUGAAGAGAUCCAUCCAUGAUGAUGCAGUAUUAUUUGAUGAUAUUUCAAAUUGAUUAUUUAUUACGGGGUAUGACGUCAUUAUGAGGACAUUGAAAUCGUAAACAAUAUAAGAUAAUGUUCCAUAUUUGCUUGCACACCCCCUAAAACUAUCUCUGUAAAAAUAUCAAAUCGAACUAAUGUCCUUGAAGAUCCUUAUUUUUAAAUAAGGAUUCUUUUAAAUAAAAGAUGGAGUAUUUUUUUUUAUAAAAAUGAGCUUAUGACUAUGAAGGAUGAAUAAGUUAUAAUGGUCUCAAGAAGAGUGUCAUUUUUCAGCCUAAAAAUUCAAAUAUGUCGAGUUCAGAAAAGGAUACAGAAUCAAUCAAAACACCUCUUUACAUAAGUUUUAUUUAUCUUACUUCAAUUUGAUGAUUGCCUUAAUGAUGACAAAUGUCUCUGAACGAUAAUAGUCUUGAAUUACUAUAAUCUCAAAUAUUUCUGAAAUCUGACGACCCAGAGAAAAACUGAGAUCCGUUUUUGACUUUGAAAAGCUAUAUUCUUGACUUAAUUUCAUUGGUGAAAAUUUUGACCUUCUAAUUGUUCCUCUGUGCUAUUUAAUUCUACUCUAAUGUUUAUAGACAGUUUAGGGGUAGAGCAAUUAUCUGGAAACUAUCAAUAUUAAUGGUAUAAGGUUAAAUAAAACGUCAUGAGUUUUUUUGCUAGAUUUAUUUAGUGAAAAAUAUAUGAGGAUUAAUACAUUGUAUA